CCAAUAGCGUAUAUUAAAGUUGUUGCAGUUAAAAAGCUCGUAGUUGAAUUUCGGGGUUAGUAGGUUGGUCAUGACUCUGGUAUGUACUGGUCUCACUGAUUCCUCCUUCCUGAUGAUCCGUAAUGCCAUUUAUUUGGUGUUGCGGGGAAUUUGGACCGUUACUUUGAAAAAAUUAGAGUGUUUAAAGCAAGCUAACGCUUGAAUACAUUAGCAUGGAAUUAUGAAAUAGGACGUUCGAUCCUAUUUUGUUGGUUUGUAGGAUUGACGUAAUGAUUAAUAGGGAUAGUUGGGGGCAUUAGUAUUCAAUUGUCAUAGGUGAAAUUAUUGGAUUUAUUGAAGACUAACUACUGCGAAAGCAUUUGCCAAGGAUGUUUUCAUUAAUCAAGAACGAAAGUUAGGGGAUCGAAGACGAUCAGAUACCGUCGUAGUCUUAACCAUAAACUAUGCCGACUAGGGAUCGGAUGAUGUUAAUUUUUUAAUGACUCAUUCGGCGCCUUACG
rnacentral:rRNA from 1 species